AGCCAGACAUUGUGCUUAGGCAGAAAACUAAAGAAAUAAAUAAGUCCUGGACCAUAAGAAGUUUACAUUCUCCUAGGAGGAAGAAAAGCAGCUAAUUAAAAUUUUUAAUUUAUUAUUUAAAUUUAAAUACAAAAUAAAAGUAAUUUUAUUUUCAAAGUCAUAGAAGUACUAACACUGAAGGGAAUCAAGGAAGACUUCAUGGAGGGGGAGGCAUCUCAGCUGAAUCUUAAAUGAAGUCAUAUUUUUCAGUAAUUCCACCAGAGGGUAUCUACCCUACCCACUAGAGACCUUCCCUUCAGCUGGUUCCUUUAACAUCUUGUGGAUGGCUCAUCAAUCCAGAACUUCAAGGACCUGGAACCUCUUUUUACAGAUAUAGGAACCAAUACUUGGAGAUGUUAAAUGGCCCACUUGAAGCCAUAAAAGGAAGUGAACUAUUUGGAGAAGGUCACAUGAAGAUACCUCCACAGACCACACAUUGCACCAGAAUAUCCAGAGUGAACUUUGGGAUGUGGUGAUUUCAACUGUGUGGGGUUGAAUGCAUUUGUUUUGUAUGUAUACGCUUAUGCUGAAGGGGACUGCC
rnacentral:lncRNA from 1 species